UUUAAUGAGCCAUCCACUGUAAAAUAUAAAGAGGAUAAUAAGGCUUUCUCUCUCUCUCUCUUUUUUUUAGAAAGUGAUUUAGCAGCUAUGGAUAAGUGUCGUGUGGAGUGAAGAUCCUGGAUUCUGCUGCCAGACUGUGUGUUUGGAUCCCUGCUUAUCAGUCUGGCAUCUGUGCUUCCCAAACAGUCAUCCUUAUGUCAUCUGGUCCUCUGCCCUUUUGAAACCAGAUCUCAGGGUCAAAAGAAGUCUGAUAUCAUUCAGAUUCUCCCUGUCACGAGACUGAUGCCAACUCAGUCACCUCAAGCAGGUGAGACACUCUUUAACAGCAUCUCCAGGGGAGGGCAGUGCACCUCAGCCUUUGUAACUUAUG
rnacentral:lncRNA from 1 species